AUGGCGAUCAAGUGGCACCUGUCUCAGUGCUGCCUGACCAAAGGAGACUCUGUGACACAGAAGGUGACUUUAGUGACUGGGAAAGAAGGAGGAAGUGUGACCAUGGAAUGCCAUUAUGAUACUUCUCUGAGCGACUACUAUUUACACUGGUAUCGGGAACAACAAGAAACACAACCACAUUAUGCGCUUAAAAAGGGUUCUGUUUGUGAUAAAUAUAAAGCAGACUUUGCUGAAAAGCGGUUCUCUGUUGAGCUCCAAACCUCGACAAAAUUCAGCAGUUUAACCAUCUCCCUGUUGGAGCUGUCUGACAGCGCUGUGUAUUACUGUGCUCUCCAACCACACAGUGAUGGGUACCAGUCAGAGACUCGUUCAAAAACUAACAGCCAUUAG